AACGAACGCUGGCGGCAUGCCUAACACAUGCAAGUCGAACGAGACCUUCGGGUCUAGUGGCGCACGGGUGCGUAACGCGUGGGAACCUGCCCUUAGGUUCGGAAUAACUCCCCGAAAGGGGUGCUAAUACCGGAUAAUGUCUUCGGACCAAAGAUUUAUCGCCUUUGGAUGGGCCCGCGUUGGAUUAGCUAGUUGGUAGGGUAAAAGCCUACCAAGGCGACGAUCCAUAGCUGGUCUGAGAGGAUGAUCAGCCACACUGGGACUGAGACACGGCCCAGACUCCUACGGGAGGCAGCAGUGGGGAAUAUAGGACAAUGGGCGAAAGCAUGAUCCAGCAAUGCCGCGUGAGUGAUGAAGGCCUUAGGGUUGUAAAGCUCUUUUACCCGGGAUGAUAAUGACAGUACCGGGAGAAUAAGCUCCGGCUAACUCCGUG
rnacentral:rRNA from 1 species